rnacentral:rRNA from 1 species
UGGGGAAUAUUGCACAAUGGGCGGAAGCCUGAUGCAGCAACGCCGCGUGCGGGAUGACGGCCUUCGGGUUGUAAACCGCUUUCGCCUGUGACGAAGCGUGAGUGACGGUCAAUGGGUAACGAAGCACCGGCACAACUAA